UACGUAGGGGGCAAGCGUUGUCCGGAUUUAUUGGGCGUAAAGAGCGUGUAGGCGGCCAGGUAGGUCCGUUGUGAAAACUCGAGGCUCAACCUCGAGACGCCGAUGGAAACCAUCUGGCUAGAGUCCGGAAGAGGAGAGUGGAAUUCCCGGUGUAGCGGUGAAUGCGCAGAUAUCGGGAAGAACACCCGUGGCUAAGGCGGCUCUCUAGUACGGUACUGACGCGUGAGACGCGAAAGCGUGGGGGCGAACGAGG
rnacentral:rRNA from 1 species